rnacentral:rRNA from 1 species
GACGAACGCUGGCGGCGUGCCUAAUACAUGCAAGUAGAACGCACAGUUUAUACCGUAGCUUGCUACACCAUAGACUGUGAGUUGCGAACGGGUGAGUAACGCGUAGGUAACCUGCCUGGUAGCGGGGGAUAACUAUUGGAAACGAUAGCUAAUACCGCAUAAUAUUAAUUAUUGCAUGAUAAUUAAUUGAAAGGUGCAAUUGCACCACUACCAGAUGGACCUGCGUUGUAUUAGCUAGUAGGUGAGGUAACGGCUCACCUAGGCGACGAUACAUAGCCGACCUGAGAGGGUGAUCGGCCACACUGGGACUGAGACACGGCCCAGACUCCUACGGGAGGCAGCAGGAGGGAAUCUUCGGCAAUGGACGAAAGUCUGACCGAGCAACGCCGCGUGAGUGAAUAAGGUUUUCGGAUCGUAAAGCUCUGUUGUAAGAGAAGAACGGGUGUGAGAGUGGAAAGUUCACACUGUGACGGUAUCUUACCAGAAAGGGACGGCUAACUACGUG